UCCCAGAGCUGAUGUGCUCCUGGCCCAGCAGCCGACACAGUCCCUGCGAAUAAGGAGCCUGGGAGAGGAAGCCUCUGCAGGGAGCCACAGGCCCCAGCCGAGCUCUGCUCUCUGCGGAGAGCCUCUUCCGGCUGCCCGGUGCGUGGACCCGAGGGAGCAGGGACCCCACCUACCCAGGAGCAGGAAGUGGCCGCACUGAGCCCCGGACCCCAGAGGGCCAGCAGGUCCUGCAUGGCCAGCUCCAGCUGCACCAGGAGGGCGCUCGGCAGGAUGGCACCCAGCAGCCCAGCUUCUAUGGUGGGGCUGUGCGGGCUCGUGGGCCUCCACUCCCCGCUUCCCUGGUUUACAUCCACAGGGAGAGCCGGCAUGUGCAAGCACCUGAGAAUGUCCUCAGGCCAGUCUGGCUUCGGACUCUGCAGACGCCCCACCCAGGCCCCUCCGCCCGCAGCUGUGGAGGUGGUGCUGGCCGAGGUUGCCACAGAGCCGGCGAAGCUGGGUGCGGCAUGCAACAGCACAGAGGCCCAGUGACAGAGGCCCCCGGAAGAGAGGACCCCCGUCUGUGCCCCAGGACCCCCGUCUGUGCCCCA